AUCUGUUUCCUGAGCCAGCUCACAAAAGCUUCCCUAAGUCAGGACUUGCCUGCGCUCUUCCACAGGACCUACCAAAGAGUGAACAUUUCAGGACCCGGAGUCCCCUGCUAUCCAGGGGAUUGGCCUCCAGGUGAUGUGUCUCACAUCGUGGGACAAAACAGCCUCUCUAAAUAUUAGGAAAAUAACUCCCGUCCCACCCUUCACUCCAGAAGGAAGAUGAUUGUUUCCCUCUCCAGAUCUUGGCAAAUGCCCUGCUCAAGGAUCACAUAGCAUGUGGUUAAGAGCCCUGCAUGCAGCUUGGUGGCUUCUCUCCAAGCCCUCCCUCUCCUGUUUUAUCUUAACCUCUCUGCACCUCGUGUCCAUUAUUUGGACGCACCCUAUGAACCCAGUCCUGGAGAGAGGGAAGGAGUGCAAAGGCAGGAGAGGACAGGGUCUUGCUCUCUGGGAUGUGAGAAGGAAGACACAAAAGACAAGAAACCAAAGCAGAGAAAAAAAAUUCAGCAUAUAAAUCAGUAGAGUGUAAACAGAUCCUUUUAGUGCUGAAACAUGCACAGGAGAGUGAAAACAGAGAUUGAAAGUAUGAAGCAAGAUCAGAGGGAAGUAAAUGCCAGGUUGAGAG
rnacentral:lncRNA from 1 species